GAGCGGACCUUUGAGAGCUUGCUCUCAAAGGUUAGCGGCGGACGGGUGAGUAACACGUGGGUAACCUGCCUGUAAGAUUGGGAUAACUCCGGGAAACCGGAGCUAAUACCGGAUAACAUUUUGAACCGCAUGGUUCGAAAUUGAAAGGUGGCUUUUGCUACCACUUACAGAUGGACCCGCGGCGCAUUAGCUAGUUGGUGAGGUAAUGGCUCACCAAGGCAACGAUGCGUAGCCGACCUGAGAGGGUGAUCGGCCACACUGGGACUGAGACACGGCCCAGACUCCUACGGGAGGCAGCAGUAGGGAAUCUUCCGCAAUGGACGAAAGUCUGACGGAGCAACGCCGCGUGAGUGAUGAAGGCCUUCGGGUCGUAAAGCUCUGUUGUUAGGGAAGAACAAGUACCGUUCAAAUAGGGCGGUACCAUGACGGUACCUAACCAGAAAGCCACGGCUAACUACGUGCCAGCAGCCGCGGUAAUACGUAGGUGGCAAGCGUUGUCCGGAAUUAUUGGGCGUAAAGGGCUCGCAGGCGGUUCCUUAAGUCUGAUGUGAAAGCCCACGGCUCAACCGUGGAGGGUCAUUGGAAACUGGGGAACUUGAGUACAGAAGAGGAGAGUGGAAUUCCACGUGUAGCGGUGAAAUGCGUAGAGAUGUGGAGGAACACCAGUGGCGAAGGCGACUCUCUGGUCUGUAACUGACGCUGAGGAGCGAAAGCGUGGGGAGCGAACAGGAUUAGAUACCCUGGUAGUCCACGCCGUAAACGAUGAGUGCUAAGUGUUAGAGGGUUUCCGCCCUUUAGUGCUGCAGCAAACGCAUUAAGCACUCCGCCUGGGGAGUACGGUCGCAAGACUGAAACUCAAAGGAAUUGACGGGGGCCCGCACAAGCGGUGGA
rnacentral:rRNA from 2 species